GCCAAUGUGGUGUAGUGGUUUGGCUGUCGGACUAAAACUCCAGAGACCAGGGAUUGAUUCCUUGCUUAGCCA